rnacentral:rRNA from 1 species
AGAGUUUGAUCCUGGCUCAGGACGAACGCUGGCGGCGUGCCUAAUACAUGCAAGUGGAACGCUGAAGGAGGAGCUUGCUUCUCUGGAUGAGUUGCGAACGGGUGAGUAACGCGUAGGUAACCUGCCUGGUAGCGGGGGAUAACUAUUGGAAACGAUAGCUAAUACCGCAUAAUAUUGACUAUUGCAUGAUAGUCAGUUGAAAGGUGCAAUUGCACCACUACCAGAUGGACCUGCGUUGUAUUAGCUAGUUGGUGGGGUAACGGCUCACCAAGGCGACGAUACAUAGCCGACCUGAGAGGGUGAUCGGCCACACUGGGACUGAGACACGGCCCAGACUCCUACGGGAGGCAGCAGUAGGGAAUCUUCGGCAAUGGGGGGAACCCUGACCGAGCAACGCCGCGUGAGUGAAGAAGGUUUUCGGAUCGUAAAGCUCUGUUGUAAGAGAAGAACGGGUGUGAGAGUGGAAAGUUCACACUGUGACGGUAUCUUACCAGAAAGGGACGGCUAACUACGUGCCAGCAGCCGCGGUAAUACGUAGGUCCCGAGCGUUGCCCGGAUUUAUUGGGCGUAAAGCGAGCGCAGGCGGUUAGAUAAGUCUGAAGUUAAAGGCUGUGGCUUAACCAUAGUAUGCUUUGGAAACUGUUUAACUUGAGUGCAGAAGGGGAGAGUGGAAUUCCAUGUGUAGCGGUGAAAUGCGUAGAUAUAUGGAGGAACAUCGGUGGCGAAAGCGGCUCUCUGGUCUGUAACUGACGCUGAGGCUCGAAAGCGUGGGGAGCAAACAGGAUUAGAUACCCUGUAGUCCACGCCGUAACGAUGAGUGCUAGGUGUUAGCCCUUUCCGGGGCUUAGUGCCGCAGCUAACGCAUUAAGCACUCCGCCUGGGGAGUACGACCGCAAGGUUGAAACUCAAGGAAUUGACGGGACCCGCACAAGCGGUGGAGCAUGUGUUUAUUUCGAAGCAACGCGAGAACCUUCCCAGGGCCUUUAGCAUCCCCUCUUGACCGCCUCUAGAAAAAUGAAAAUUUC